rnacentral:tRNA from 1 species
GGGAGGUUAGCUCAGGGGUAGAGCAUCGCAUUCACACUGCGGGGGCCACUGGUUCGAAACCAGUACUUCCCACCA